AGAAAGAGAUUUGAAAAAUCAAUUUAGCUUUUUCCCUCUUUCAACUUUUCUUCCACACUGAUACUUCAUUCUUCUCCGAUUCACUCCACUCUAGUAGCAAUACCAUUUCUACUUCACCUCUUCCUUUCUCACAGAUGGCAAAGGGAUCCGCUAGUAACAACUAUGAAGAAGCUAGAAAACUAAGACUUGAAGAGAACAAGAAGAGGUUUCAGAAAUUGUUGUCUAAUUUGGCUUAUGCAACCUCAACAACAGUAGUGGAAUCAUCCGAAACUUUAUGUGGCCUAAAGUUUGAAAUUUAGGUUUAAGAUUGUGGUUGGAUUGAGUAAUGUAUCAUAAACCAUUAUUAUCUUUGUGAGUAGUAUAUAUGCUUGUGUGUGAGUUGUUCAAGGCUUUAAUACUGGUUUAGAACAUGUUUUUGUUUGGUAAAAAAACAGCAGUUGACUAAUAAGCUUGUUGAUAGAUAGUUUAUGAGUGAUCAUUGAUGACUGAUGACUGAUAGCUUAUGGAUCUGUUUGGUAAGACACAUCAGUCUUUUCAUCACGAUAUUAUAGCUUAUUUUGAUAACUUAUAGUUUUUUUUUUCCAGAUGCUAUUUCAAUUAGCGUUUUACCUUAUAACUUAUUUUCCAGAGUCCAGACGCUAUUUCAAAUAGUGUUUUAGCUUAUAGCUUAUUAUUUUUUCUUCCUUUUUUAUCCUUAUUAUUUUAACAAAAAUCCACUUUCAUCCUCUAUAAUUUAUUUUAAUUUAAAAUAAUUUAAUUGUAUAUUAAAUAUCUUUUAUGUCAUUUUACAUUUAUAAAUUAGUUAAACCGCUAAUUUUACCAAAUACUUCAAUUAGCUUAUCAGUUAUAUCAAAUCCUUUAGCUGAUGACUGGUGACUUA